rnacentral:rRNA from 1 species
CCUACGGGGGGCAGCAGUGGGGAAUAUUGCACAAUGGGCGCAAGCCUGAUGCAGCCAUGCCGCGUGUGUGAAGAAGGCCUUCGGAUUGUAAAGCACUUUCAGCGGGGAGGAAGGCGGUGAGGUUAAUAACCUCAUCGAUUGACGUUACCCGCAGAAGAAGCACCGGCUAACUCCGUGCCAGCAGCCGCGGUAAUACGGAGGGUGCAAGCGUUAAUCGGAAUUACUGGGCGUAAAGCGCACGCAGGCGGUCUGUCAAGUCGGAUGUGAAAUCCCCGGGCUCAACCUGGGAACUGCAUUCGAAACUGGCAGGCUAGAGUCUUGUAGAGGGGGGUAGAAUUCCAGGUGUAGCGGUGAAAUGCGUAGAGAUCUGGAGGAAUACCGGUGGCGAAGGCGGCCCCCUGGACAAAGACUGACGCUCAGGUGCGAAAGCGUGGGGAGCAAACAGGAUUAGAUACCCGGGUAGUC